UUUUUUAUCUUGUUUAUUUUUUAAAUAUUUAUGUUAAAUAUUUUAGUUUUUAAUUAAUAUAUUUUAUAUUUAAAAAAUAUCGAAACUAUAUCUGCAUGGCACGAUACGGUACCGAAACCGUAUUGUUCCAAUCCAGGACCGAAACCUCGGCACGGGUCAAAAUUUUAAACCUUGAUUAUAACGGAAACCUUUUACUUUCUACUACUAUUCCUUUGUUGUAUUCCUGUUUAUUGGAUAGGCCAUGCUCAUUGUACUUAUUUCUGUUUAGUUUUAAGCAAUUCUGCAUCAAUUUUGCAAAUGAAAAGCUUCGACAACAUUUUAAUGAGGUGUGAAGUUAUAUUUUAUUGGUAGCAAAUUUGUUUGUGUUUAUAUGCUUAGCUUUCUGUUAACGGUUAGGGAUGAGAUAUUAUAUCUAUUUUGUGAUGGUGCAACAUGUUUUUAAGAUGGAGUCGGAAGAAGACAGGAAUGAGAAAAUUAAUUGGAGCUAUAUUGAAAUCAAGAUGUUCUAGAUUUGAUUGAGAAGGUUUUUACAACUCUUCCUUGAAAAACUCGGGCACUUAUCCAACUACUCUUCGUGUACCUUUUUUUCAUUCUUAGUACUUGAAGAAACUUAUUCGCCUUUGUGUAGCAUUUCUUACAUCAUAAAUAAAUCAUGUUUGUUUUACUGACAUAUGGAAGAACUAUUCAUUUCCUAUGAUCAUUUGUUUUGUAGAAUUAUGACGAUGGACAACAAUUUUAGUUUUGAACAAAUGGUAUGUCAUGACAUUAUAUGUUGUUUGAUGCUAGGAACCUUGAAUUUGAGAAGUAUGUCAUAUUCUGUUAUAGAGUAUGGGAGAUUGUAGGCCAAUAGAUGAUCUACAAUCUUUUGUGGAGAUGAGUAACUGAAACUCAUGAAUCAUGUUGUAAUAUUGGACCAAAUCUUGUCCAUUUGGGAAUUAUUCUAUUGAUUUUGUUGUGAAGAACAUGUUACUAAUUGGUAAUGUAAUGCACUAUUUGUUUCAUUUACUCAAAUCAUAUUAGUAUUUGGCCAGGUGUUUAAACGAUGAAGAUUUUUGUAUACCAAUAAGUUGGAAAAGAAGAGGAGAUAAAAUUACCAUUAAUAUAUAUAUAAAAGAAAUUUUAUUCUUGUGAAAAUGUUAAUCCCAUUGCAAUCCUCUUAAAGUUCCAUUACAGUUUGAAGUUGUAAUGCAUGAAUAGGAACAUGGUUCCCAGCAUAUAGGAGAGUAAUCAAGACAAGUUGAAAGGAAACUCAUUAAUUUGAUUGUUGCAUUUGUUUAUCUAAAAGCUAUUUGUAAUGCAUUGAAAUGCAAAUGGAUGAUCACCAAAUACCACAAAUGAUGAAUUUGCAUACCAUGUACCUUUGAUACCAGAAGGUUCAUAUUUAUUCCGCCGGAAUGGAAUUUGCAUUAGAUAGAUAGUAACAAUGGUUAAAUUGUGAUGUACACAUUUUCUACUUAAGCCAUGGUUUGUUAUAGCUAUAGAUGUACACAUUUUUCCUUGAUUCAUUUCUAUUUUUCCUCCAUCAUCUUAUUUAAACAUUUCUAUCUCUCUCACUCUCCUCUCCUCUCCUCCCUCCCAUUUCACCCUUCCCUUAAAUUGUUUCUCCUCCUUUAGUUAUUAGUGUUUGAGCCAUCCUAUAUAUUGACUCCACGAUCCCAUCUAGCUGGCGUCUAUGAUUUCUAUUCAAUUUCAUGUUGUUUAUAAUUUCCAUUUAUUUAUGUACUGUCUAUGAAAUGAAAUUGAGUGGGAGACUAUUGGAUGAAACCUAGUAGGAAGACACUAGCUCCAUUUGAAUAAUCCAUUACUAAAUAAGGAACGAAAAAUAAUUGGGUUUGUUUUUACUAUUUGGGAUCGAUUAUAAUAAUCUUAUUCCUCCUUGAGUCGUAUAUAAGGCUAUAUUUAUUCAAAUUAUUGAUAUUAUUUUUUAUCAUAUCGAUUACUACUUUCUUUGUUCCUCACCACUUACACUUUUCACUCUAAUUGAUGUAACUCUUUAAUUACAAAAUACAUUUGUUGCCUUUGAACAUGUCCAUUCAAACAUCUUAGUCUAUUUUUUCUCAUUUUAUCAUUUAUUGGAGCUACACUUAGUUGCUUAUAAGAUUUUUUUUUUUUUAUGUUUUUGUAUUUUAAAUUUAUUUAGUAACUUAUAUAGUAAAGAUAAAGUUAAAUUUAGUGAACAAUUCUCAAUAUUGAACUUUGAUAUUAGAAAUUCCUUCUUAUUACAUGGGUUUGUGAAAUUAAACACUCCUAAAGGCUUUGUAAAGUUAUCAACGAGCCAUUUCUUUUCUAGAGGUGCAACUGAUGUUUCACAAUCUUUGUUGAUCAUUGACAUUUGUUCACCUGUUUUCUAUUUUCUCAAUCUACAAGGAAAGGAUUAACAUUUUCAUUUUUUGUAGAAACCUAUUGGGAUUAUUUCGCUAUUGGAUAAGGCUUGCAUGUUCCCAAGGUCAACACAUCAAACAUUUUCUGCCUUAACUGUUUCAGAAUCUUGGAUCACAUUCCAGAUUGGGAAAGGAAAAAUUUGCUGAAUUGGAUUUGAUCAUAUCGCAUUAUGCUGGAAAGGUGACAUAUCAAACAGAAUUCUUUCUGGAUAAGAAUCGGGAUUAUAUUGUUGUUGAACAUUGCAAUCUUUUAUCUUCUUCAAGAUGCUCAUUUGUUUCUGGACUCUUUGCUUCACUAUCAGAGGAGUCUUCAAGAUCAUCAUACAAAUUUUCAUCUUUGGCCUCAAGAUUCAAGGUGUACUUGAUAUAUAUUCUUUAAUUUAAUUUUUUUUAUUUGCUAACAUGAAUUUCUUAUGAUUAGGAAGUGAGUUAUAUAAAGUUUACUUUAGCACAUCAUGACAGUAAAAUAAAGAUGCUCCUUUCCUUCUUGUAAUGUUUUAAUUGAUAUGUUGUAGCUUUGUAACAACAAGUGGAAUCCGCCACCCCAAUGGCUCCACACGGUCGGCCCCAUGACCAUAUGUGAGGAGGUAAAUCGAGAAACUAUAGUUUGCCACUGUGGGAGAGGGUUGUUUCGUUCGACUUUGCUGAGGAUCGACCCUUGUCCAUUGUAGCAAGUUUUAUGUUUUAAUUGAUAUGAUUUACAUGCCACAUGUAUGUGUCACGUGCCACAUAAUAGUAAUUGCUCAUUUUUGAUUGCACGUCCAUAGGUUGAGUUGGGCAUUUUCUGUCACAUGUUGAUUACAUGUAGUAUUCCUCUGUUGGGAACAAUUUUUUGCACAUUCAUUAUUGGAAUUGGUAAUGAAUGUUGGCAUAAGCAUUAUAAAUGCAACUUAAGCCUAAGUUAAUGUGAUUGUUUAAUGAUUUGAAAUCAAAUAAAAAAUUAGAAAAGGGCAUACUACAAUGAAUGGUUGUGGAUUUUCACAGGAUUUGCCUAUUUAUUGUCUUGACAUGGAAGUUGGCCGUCUUCAACUUACUUGCAUCUAUUCCAGCCUAGGAUGCUAUUCCUAGUCUAUGGUGAUUUUAUGAGUUUCUUGCUUUCAAUGAAUUUAUUGUGGACUUUUAUAUUCAUUUUGUCCUAAUAUAGUAGCUUUGUCUAAUAUAGCUUUUAUCUUUGGAUUUGGAGGACAACCACCACCAUUACUUCUAGAACAAUAUUUAAACUAUCUGGGGUGGGCUACAUGAAGUAUUAUCAUAUAGACUGUCACUACUAGUAUCUUAUGCAAGUCAUUCAGAUUGCAUUUAGAUCGUAUAUAACAACUAUAUUAGUUUUAUAUUAUCUCUUACAAUUUGUUUUAUUAAAGUUUCAAAAACAUGUUUAUAGUGUGAACCAAAGUAGUCAUAAUAUAGAUCCGCCUUUUUAUUUUGUUGUGGUAUUAUGUCACUAUUUACAUGACUUACAAUAGUUGGGAUAGUAUUUUUUGCCAAAUAACCCCUUGAAGUAUUUCCUCUGUUUAAGAAGAAAUCAUUUUUAGAUAGGCAAUGUGGCAUCUUAGUUUUGAUUGUUUAUCUGGACUUCCUUGUUUAUUCAUUUAAAUGUCGUUUGAAUUUGCUGAGCUGAGUUUUUUGGUUUUGCAACUUCCGCUUCUUAACUGAUUUACUGAAGCAACAACUUCAAGCACUUAUGGAGACACUUAGCUUAACAGAACCCCAUUAUAAACGAUGUAUCGGAAUCGGAGUGUUCAACACUCCAUCAAUUACGAUGUGGAGUAAGUGUUGUUUUAUUUCAUAUGUAAAUUAUUGAUGAUUACUGACACAUAUUCUUUAGCUAAUGAUUUUCUAAGUGU